AACGAACGCUGGCGGCAGGCCUAACACAUGCAAGUCGAACGCCGUAGCAAUACGGAGUGGCAGACGGGUGAGUAACACGUGGGAACGUACCCUUCGGUUCGGAAUAACUCAGGGAAACUUGAGCUAAUACCGGAUACGUCCGAGAGGAGAAAGAUUUAUCGCCGAGGGAUCGGCCCGCGUCUGAUUAGCUUGUUGGUGAGGUAACGGCUCACCAAGGCGACGAUCAGUAGCUGGUCGAGAGGAUGAUCAGCCACAUUGGGACUGAGACACGGCCCAAACUCCUACGGGAGGCAGCAGUGGGGAAUAUUGGACAAUGGGCGCAAGCCUGAUCCAGCCAUGCCGCGUGAGUGAUGAAGGCCCUAGGGUUGUAAAGCUCUUUUACCCGGGAAGAUAAUGACUGUACCGGGAGAAUAAGCCCCGGCUAACUUCGUGCCAGCAGCCGCGGUAAC
rnacentral:rRNA from 1 species